CAUCUAGAUGAUGGGCUUA
rnacentral:siRNA from 1 species